rnacentral:rRNA from 1 species
AACGAACGCUGGCGGCAUGCCUAACACAUGCAAGUCGAACGAGACCUUCGGGUCUAUUGGCGCACGGGUGCGUAACGCGUGGGAACCUGCCCUUAGGUUCGGAAUAACUCCCCGAAAGGGGUGCUAAUACCGGAUAAUGUCUUCGGACCAAAGAUUUAUCGCCUUUGGAUGGGCCCGCGUUGGAUUAGCUAGUUGGUAGGGUAAAAGCCUACCAAGGCGACGAUCCAUAGCUGGUCUGAGAGGAUGAUCAGCCACACUGGGACUGAGACACGGCCCAGACUCCUACGGGAGGGAGCAGUGGGGAAUAUUGGACAAUGGGCGAAAGCAUGAUACAGCAAUGCCGCGUGAGUGAUGAAGGCAUUAGGGUUGUAAAGCUCUUUUAACCGGGAUGAUAAUGACAGUACCGGGAGAAUAAGCUCCGGCUAACUACGUG